rnacentral:rRNA from 1 species
CCUACGGGAGGCUGCAGUGGGGAAUAUUGGACAAUGGGCGAAAGCCUGAUCCAGCCAUGCCGCGUGUGUGAAGAAGGCCUUCGGGUUGUAAAGCACUUUCAGUGGGGAAGAAAGCCUUGGGGCUAAUACCCUCGAGGAAGGACAUCACCCACAGAAGAAGCACCGGCUAACUCCGUGCCAGCAGCCGCGGUAAUACGGAGGGUGCGAGCGUUAAUCGGAAUUACUGGGCGUAAAGCGCGCGUAGGCGGUCUGAUAAGCCGGUUGUGAAAGCCCCGGGCUCAACCUGGGAACGGCAUCCGGAACUGUCAGGCUAGAGUGCAGGAGAGGAAGGUAGAUUUCCCGGUGUAGCGGUGAAAUGCGUAGAGAUCGGGAGGAAUACCAGUGGCGAAGGCGGCCUUCUGGACUGACACUGACGCUGAGGUGCGAAAGCGUGGGUAGCAAACAGGAUUAGAUACCCCUGUAGUC